CCUCUCGGGGGUAAGCGGGCAGAACUUGCAAGUAUUGACAGAGAGAUUCAGACUUAAUGUUGGUGGCUGAGAGUGCUUAUUAUGUUGUUCGUUCGCGGACUAGCUGGUUUGUACUCUUUGAUCUAUCGAUGGUGCGUCGCAUUUCUCUUUGUCAUCGGGUUGCAUGCAACUGAGAUGGUAAUUUUAUGGGUUGAGAAUCUGCAAAUCCUUGUGGGUUGAGUCUUGAUUUCUAAUUACUUAUGCGGUUGUGACAUGAAUNUGAGCAGGCAUUUAUUGCGGUCAAAUAUUUUUACGAGCAGGGUGUAUGUUGUGCAUGGACGAGUAAUCGUAGUGUAUGAUAUGCACUGGUUGUCGGUGAGAAUAUUUUGGCACUGUUCAAGUAUUGCAAUCUAAAGCAUGCGUGGUCUGCCUGU
rnacentral:rRNA from 1 species